UAGAAUGAAUUAUGAACAGC
rnacentral:miRNA from 1 species